CACACGUAUGGCCACGGAAACGCUUCUCUCUCACACACACUCCCUCGAAUCCUUCCCGCGACCCUCCCGCCCUCACACGAUCGCGGCUCCUGCAGCCCAUCGACUGCAGCCCCUCUGGGCGCACCUUGACACCCACCAGCCACGCCUCUCCUGCACGCCGCGGAGCCCCACCGGCACACCUCUGCGCUCCGGCCUUCGCCGCAGGCUCGCAUCUCCUGUGCUCUUUCCCCGCAACGCACACCCCGGCUCAGCUCGCACACCGUCAUUCCUCAGGGGCUCCCUCCAGCCACCCGGGAAAGGACUUGCAGAGGAAGCACAGCGCGCCGGCGCCGGCGCAGGCCUCGCCGCUCGCUCGCUGUAGGCCCUGCUGUGUAUUUAUACCCAGGAGGGAGAUAGCGACCCCCACCCCAUCACAGACUGCUCCCCUUUCUCCCUGUGUCCUGACUGGUGUGGGGAGUUUUCGCCCCAGGGACCACGGGAGCACAGGUGACACGACACGGCCUGACUGCUGAGCCCGUGCCUCUCCUUGGAGCCCUUCCGUGGAUGACCCUGAUCCGCCUCUCUAGGGCCAAAGAUCAGAGGCUCCCCUAAACCACACCACCUCACAUCUCCCCCACGGGCCUUUGUUUCCGUGCAGACGGUGUCAGGAAUGGCCCUUCUCUAUCGAGUGGGAUUCGCAGAUCCCCACUCCUCCACGCGGAAGCAGAACCUUCACUACCCACGUCCAAUGCACGGGAAGCCGCCCCGAGCCUACCGGCCGACAGGCACAGCCUCACGCCAUCCAGACGCUCUCACUGGAGGGGUGGAGGGACGGGAACGCCAGGCAGCUGGCGGUUUCAGCAUCAGAAGCCUCCUUGCAGGGUGCCCUGUCCUUGGCUGAUGGCCAGAGGGCGAGCCCCAGGACACUGCUCUGUCCCUGAGUUUCUCUGCCCCGGCCUACGCCUUUGAGAGAUGCCCCUUGUGCGACGCCUGUGUUACCUCCGGGGCAUCAGUGUCUCCCCCAGAAGGACUGAGUUCAUGUGGCAGGCACAUCAGGAUCAAGAAAUCGAGGGAACUGGAUCCCAAAUCAACCACCGCCAUUUGAUCAGCAUCAAGAGACAGAAGAACGGAGCAAGCCCCCGAGGCUGCACACAGACAGGUGUUCCUGCCUCACCGAGGUGGGCGUCUCACCGCUGUGGCCUCUGUGCUAGUGUGCGUCCGGGUACACCCAGAGCACAUGACAACUGAGAGGGACACGCCCUGGGACCCACGGAAACAAAAUCAUUCGUGCCCUGCGUUGAGCCCCCGUCCAGCUCUCCCGCCCAACAAGCCAGUGUCUUGGUGAAAAGCUGUACAGUGACAAUCUCCAAUAGAUCCGAGGGCGUGACGCCACACUGCCACGCUGCGCCCAGGAGCCUGAGAGCGGUUGUUCCGUGUGUGGAGCUGGUGCCUGGGGCGCAGCUAGAGCAGGGGCGCAUGGGACAGCAGCCUUCACUGCUGACGGAAGCCCACGCUGGGUCUGACCUUGCUGGGGCAGGAGGGACUCCGAUCAGUCCCUGCUGGGCGCUCUGUGUGCUGCUGCGCCCCUCCCCACAUCUCCUGAGACCCCUCCCCAGGGCAGGGAAGAGGGCAUUUGCACAGGUCCUGGGAGGAGCAGACGAGGGGGUUUCCAAGCAGUGAGGAAGGUACCAGCCCAGGUCUCAGUGGAGGGGCACUGGGAGGAAAGACGGCUGCAUGGGAGGAAGGUGGGUUCCACAGAGACGAACCGGGCGGUGAGCCUUGGGUGGCAGUCCCCAAGUGGAUACCCCUCCCAUCCCGCCCUCCCCCUCGUCCUAAUGGAUGAAGCUCCCCCUAGGUGUGGGGAGGGUGGCCAGCAGCUGGCCAGCCCCCAAGAGGGGGACAGACGGACUGCACAGAGCCAGCUGGGCUCCUGGCUUGUCCGGUUCUCUAAAGACCUCCAGGGAGGGAGGGCCACCCCCAGGACCAGGGUGGGCUUGUGGUGGUACCUGGGGGGGAUCCCCCACCUGGGGUUCAAGCCCCACCCCUCAUGGCUGGUGAGUUCAGGGUGGCUGACCCUCCAGGAAGGGAGGUCCAACUAGCGGUCACUUCACACUAUCUUCUGUGCUGUGCCCGGCCAGGCCCCACUGGUGUCAUGUGGAAACUGUGAGAGAAAGAGGCAGUUACCAUGGAAACAAGGUGUGUUCAGAAGAGAAACCUCUGAGGUAGAAGAAGCAACGGAGAGAUGCUUUGUGGGCGCCCAGUGCUGGGGUCAGUCCUCCUGGAGGCCCCCCCAACCCAGGCCUCCGGGUCACACUAUGGGGAUCAGGAAGGUAGUCCACCCACCACCCAGAAGGGCCUGUGGAGCCACGUGCUGGGGCCUGGCAGCCAAGAGCAGGUCCUCCUCUGGAGCCCAGCAGCUGCCGGCCAGGUGUGUCUACCUUCCCUGGGCUGGGGGGAUGCUCUGUAAGUGCUCUGUGCAGGAGGCUGAGGGCCCUGCUUUGGGGCAGCCGUCCUGGGUGCCAGGAGACGACCCUGCAGUGGUUGGGCUGGCGAGAUCCUGCGGUGAUGGGCCCUGCCAGGUCAGGCCCUGAGGGCACCUGGGCGGGACACCUGACCUGGGUCUCCUCCAGGGAGACUCGUCUGGCCACUGGCCCUCCACACGUGUGCCCUUGGACCAGACAGUGUCUAGACGGGCACUGGGAGGGGCCUGGGAAAAUCCCAGGCCCUCAGGCUUCCCACAGUUCCACACCCCUCCCAUCCUACCCUACCCCUUCCCCCGCCACGCGCACCUGCCUGCUGCAAGGUUACCCCCCAGGGUGGGGGGUAGAGCAGACCCCUGGGGGGAGUCCCAAGGCCCCUGUGCCCAGCACUGCUGUCACCCACACACCGCACACUCCCCUCUUCUCUACAGAGACGAGGGCUUCGUGCUCUCAGGGCACCUGGGACGUCCACAGCCAUGGCGGACAGAAGCCGCACCUUGUCCAUGGGGCUGGCACAGGGACCAGACCGAUGCCUGCUGACUCCCAGCCCUCUUACUCCACAGCCAGGGGUCCCUGGGGCUUGGCCUGGGGGACAUCUGUUCGGUGGCCUCCACUGCCCAGCUUCUGACCACAGGCCGGGACCCAUCCCCCAGUGAGCUUUUGUUAAGCACGUAGCCAUCACGGCCCUGUCACGGGCAUGCAGCUGCACCCCAGCCCACCUGCAGCACAAGGGCCUCCAAGCUGGUGAGCCCUGUGGAGGGAGGGGUGGCCUGGGGGGCAGGACACAGGGUGCCCCUGGCCUGGCCUGUUACAUAGGGUGACCUGGGCCUGCAGCACAGUGACCCCACAGGCAGCCACACGUGUGGCCUUCACCCCAGGCCCAGCCCUGGUUUUUCAGUCCUGACUCAAGUCCCAUCCCCUGGUGAGGAAGCAGGAUGAGGCCCAACCAGCUCACUUUUUGUGGUUUAACAUUUUCCUUUUUUUUAAUAACAGUUUUAUUGGGAUACAAUUCACAUGACAUUUAAUUCACCCGCGUAAAGUGUACAGCUAAGCCAUUUUCAGUCUAUUCACAGACUAGAGCCACUGGAACCUGCAGUCCAUUUGGGACAUUUUCAUCACCCCAGAAAGAAGCCCUGCACCCCUCAGCUGUUACUCCCCGUUCCCCCAGUCCCUCGGCCUGAGCCGACCACUCAUCCUGUCUCCUACGGUUUGUAUGUCCCGGAGAGCUCACAUAUGCAGAACCGUGCAACGCGGAACUUCCCGUGUCUGCCUUCUCUCUUUAGUGCGGUGUUUUCCAGGGUCACUCCUGCUGUGGCGUGGCUCCGUGUUUCGUUUCUUUUCAUGGCCAAAUGAGAGUCCAUUGUAUGGAUAGAUCACAUUUUACUUACCCACUCAUCACGUGACAGACUUCUGCAUUGUUUCCACGUUUUCACCAUUAAGAUUAAAGCUUCUGUGGACACUUGUACGCAGGUUUUAGUGUGGAUGUGUGUUUUCGUUCCUCGGAUAUACACCCACCAGUGGAACAGCAGGGUCAUAGGGGAAGUCUAUGUUAGCUUUCUGAGGAACUGCCAGACCAUGUUCCAAAGUGGCUGUACUAUUUUCCAUUCCCAUUGGUAGUGUAGGACGGUUCAUCUUGCUUUUUAAUGCC